rnacentral:rRNA from 1 species
CCUACGGGAGGCAGCAGUGGGGAAUUUUGGACAAUGGGCGCAAGCCUGAUCCAGCAAUGCCGCGUGCAGGAUGAAGGCCUUCGGGUUGUAAACUGCUUUUGUACGGAACGAAACGGUGAGCUCUAAUACAGUUUGCUAAUGACGGUACCGUAAGAAUAAGCACCGGCUAACUACGUGCCAGCAGCCGCGGUAAUACGUAGGGUGCGAGCGUUAAUCGGAAUUACUGGGCGUAAAGCGUGCGCAGGCGGUGAUGUAAGACAGAUGUGAAAUCCCCGGGCUCAACCUGGGACCUGCAUUUGUGACUGCAUCGCUAGAGUACGGUAGAGGGGGAUGGAAUUCCGCGUGUAGCAGUGAAAUGCGUAGAUAUGCGGAGGAACACCGAUGGCGAAGGCAAUCCCCUGGACCUGUACUGACGCUCAUGCACGAAAGCGUGGGGAGCAAACAGGAUUAGAUACCCUGGUAGUCCACGCCCUAAACGAUGUCAACUGGUUGUUGGGUCUUCACUGACUCAGUAACGAAGCUAACGCGUGAAGUUGACCGCCUGGGGAGUACGGCCGCAAGGUUGAAACUCAAAGGAUUGA